rnacentral:rRNA from 1 species
GGUACGCGAGCUGGGUUUAGAACGUCGUGAGACAGUUCGGUCCCUAUCCUCUGUGGCCGUAGGAGAUUUGAGGAAAGCUGUCCGUAGUACGAGAGGACCCGGAUGGACGCAGCUCUCGUGUGCCAGUUGUUCCGCCAGGAGCACGGCUGGUUGGCGACCUGCGGAAGGGAUAAGCGCUGAAAGCAUCUAAGCGCGAAGCCUGUUCCAAGAUGAGAUCUCCCACUGGUACAACCAGGUAAGGCCCGUGGCAGAUAACCACGUUGAUAGGCCGGAUGUGUACGCACAGCAAUGUGUUCAGCAGACCGGUACUAAUCGGCCGAGGGCUUGGUAUC